rnacentral:misc_RNA from 1 species
UUAUGGUCACUGCGUGCUCUUUGGUAUUCAGUGGCAGCUGGGCCGGGAUUAGAGGAGCCAAUAACACUAUUGAAGGGCAGCACGAUUAUAAUGCCGGUUUCACAACUGACACAAAAUCCAAAUCAAGGACGCCCACUAGAGGGCGUUCCAACAUGGGAGGAGUACACCAAGGAAAAGAAGGGCUACAUCAACAUUGGCAAAC